UCCCUGGCGGUCCAGUGGUUAGGAGUCUGCACUUUCACUGCAGGGGGCGUGGGUUUGAACCCUGGUCAGGGAA
rnacentral:tRNA from 1 species